ACGAACGCUGGCGGCGUGCUUAACACAUGCAAGUCGAGCGAUGAAGCUCCUUCGGGAGCGGAUUAGCGGCGGACGGGUGAGUAACACGUGGGUAACCUGCCUCAUAGAGGGGAAUAGCCUUUCGAAAGGAAGAUUAAUACCGCAUAAGAUUGUAGUACCGCAUGGUAUAGCAAUUAAAGGAGCAAUCCGCUAUGAGAUGGACCCGCGUCGCAUUAGCUAGUUGGUGAGGUAACGGCUCACCAAGGCGACGAUGCGUAGCCGACCUGAGAGGGUGAUCGGCCACAUUGGGACUGAGACACGGCCCAGACUCCUACGGGAGGCAGCAGUGGGGAAUAUUGCACAAUGGGGGAAACCCUGAUGCAGCAACGCCGCGUGAGUGAUGACGGUCUUCGGAUUGUAAAACUCUGUCUUUGGGGACGAUAAUGACGGUACCCAAGGAGGAAGCCACGGCUAACUACGU
rnacentral:rRNA from 1 species